CCUACGGGAGGCAGCAGUGAGGAAUAUUGGUCAAUGGACGAGAGUCUGAACCAGCCAAGUAGCGUGAAGGAUGACUGCCCUAUGGGUUGUAAACUUCUUUUAUAAAGGAAUAAAACGAGGCACGUGUGCCUUUUUGCAUGUACUUUAUGAAUAAGGAUCGGCUAACUCCGUGCCAGCAGCCGCGGUAAUACGGAGGAUCCGAGCGUUAUCCGGAUUUAUUGGGUUUAAAGGGAGCGUAGAUGGGUUGUUAAGUCAGUUGUGAAAGUUUGCGGCUCAACCGUAAAAUUGCAAUUGAUACUGGCAGUCUUGAGUACAGUUGAGGUAGGCGGAAUGCGUGGUGUAGCGGUGAAAUGCUUAGAGAUCACGAAGAACCCCGAUUGCGAAGGCAGCUUACUAAACUGUGACUGACAUUGAUGCUCGAAAGUGUGGGUAGCAAACAGGAUUAGAUACCCGAGUAGUC
rnacentral:rRNA from 1 species